rnacentral:rRNA from 1 species
GGACGAACGCUGGCGGCGUGCCUAAUACAUGCAAGUCGAGCGCAUGGAGAUAGAACUUGUUCUAUUGAAGUGAGCGGCGCACGGGUGAGUAACACGUGGGAAACCUACCCUUUAGCGGGGGAUAACACUGGGAAACGAGUGCUAAUACCGCAUAGAGCAUCUGGUUGCAUGACCGGAUGAGGAAAGACGCUACGGCGUCACUAAAGGAUGGUCCCGCGGUGCAUUAGCUAGUUGGUAAGGUAGCGGCUUACCAAGGCGAUGAUGCAUAGCCGACCUGAGAGGGUGAUCGGCCACAUUGGGACUGAGACACGGCCCAAACUCCUACGGGAGGCAGCAGUAGGGAAUCUUCCGCAAUGGACGCAAGUCUGACGGAGCAACGCCGCGUGAGUGAAGAAGGUUUUCGGAUCGUAAAGCUCUGUUGUUAGAGAAGAACAGAUAGGAGAGGGAAUGCUCUUAUUGUGACGGUAUCUAACCAGAAAGCCACGGCUAACUACGU